rnacentral:rRNA from 1 species
GACGAACGCUGGCGGCGUGCUUAACACAUGCAAGUCGAGCGGUAAGGCCCUUUCGGGGGUACACGAGCGGCGAACGGGUGAGUAACACGUGGGUGACCUGCCCUCAGCUCUGGGGAUAAGCCUGGGAAACCGGGUCUAAUACUGGAUAUGACUCCAUGACGCAUGUUGUGGGGUGGAAAGCCUUGUGCGGCUGAGGAUGGGGCCCGCGGCCUAUCAGCUUGUUGGUGGGGGAUGGCCUACCAAGGCGACGACGGGGUAGCCGGCCUGAGAGGGCGACCGGCCACACUGGGACUGAGACACGGCCCAGACUCCUACGGGAGGCAGCAGUGGGGAAUCUUGCGCAAUGGGCGAAAGCCUGACGCAGCGACGCCGCGUGAGGGAUGACGGCCUCGG